rnacentral:rRNA from 1 species
GGACUACUGGGGUAUCUAAUCCUGUUCGCUCCCCACGCUUUCGCUCCUCAGCGUCAGUAUUGGCCCAGAUCACCGCCUUCGCUACUGGUGUUCCUCCUGAUAUCUGCGCAUUCCACCGCUACACCAGGAAUUCCGUGAUCCCCUACCAAACUCUAGUCACGACAGUUUCGGGUGGCGGCCCCAGGUUAAGCCUGGGGGUUUAACACCCGACUUGUCGAACCGCCUACGAGCUCUUUACGCCCAAUAAAUCCGAAUAACGCUCGCACCCUAUGUAUUACCGCGGCUGCUGGCAC